rnacentral:tRNA from 1 species
UUACUUUGGCAGAAAAUAUGCGUUAGAUUUAGAAUUUAAUUAUAUAGGAAUAGCUAUAAGUAGAAG